AUUGGGAAGGCAGAAAGAUAACAGUGAAUAUGAGACAUGGGGGAAGGUAUUGGGAAGGUAGAAAGAUAACAGUGAAUAUGAGACAUGGAGGAAGGUAUUGGGAAGGUAGAAAGAUAACAGUGAAUAUGAGACAUGGAGGAAGGUAUUGGGAAGGUAGAAAGAUAACAGGGAAUAUGAGACAUGGGGAAGGUAUUGGGAAGGUAGAAAGAUAACAGUGAAUAUGAGACAUGGGGGAAGGUAUUGGGAAGGUAGAAAGAUAACAGUGAAUAUGAGACAUGGAGGAAGGUAUUGGGAAGGUAGAAAGAUAACAGGGAAUAUGAGACAUGGGGAAGGUAUUGGGAAGGUAGAAAGAUAACAGUGAAUAUGAGACAUGGAGGAAGGUAUUGGGAAGGUAGAAAGAUAACAGUGAAUAUGAGACAUGGAGGAAGGUAUUGGGAAGGUAGAAAGAUAACAGUGAAUAUGAGACAUGGGGGAAGGUAUUGGGAAGGCAGAAAGAUAACAGUGAAUAUGAGAC